rnacentral:lncRNA from 1 species
GCCAGGCUGGGGAUUGAACCUGUGUCCCAGUGCUCCGGAGAUGCUACCAAUCCCUUUGCGCCCCAGUGGGAACUCCUUUAGUCAUCUAUUUUGUUGCACCUGGUCUGUCCAAAAUAUGAUCAUCGUGGCACCUGAUGAUGUCAAUCAUAAUUCAUCUAUAAAUUAUUUGUGAGAUCAUUUUCAUUUUUCUCUCUAUCAAGUCUUCAGAAUGCCGUGUGUGUUUCCCACUCAACCUGAACAUGGAGUAGGAGCCUUAAACAGUGAUGUAAUCAUUAGGUGUCCAAUGUAUGCAUCUCCCCUGCAGACCCAGGCCCUGGGGCCCAGCCCCAUGGCCUCCCUGUGACCGUGGUGCCUGUGGCCAAGUCUCGUGUCUUUUCCAGGGGCAGGACUCCUUGGGUCCAAACCCGAAGUGAUCUCCCAUCUGAAGCGAGGGGAAGAGCCCAAGAUGGAGGAGAGAGGAGCCCAGCGAGUUCCCUGUCCAGACUUGGAGACAAGCUCUGCAACUACUCAGGAGACACUUCCCAUAAAGAAUGUUUCUGAAGAGGCAGCUUCCCCAAAGGGAAAGAUGGAGGGUAUUUUAAGGGCAGUGCUUGGAGACACC